rnacentral:lncRNA from 1 species
UGCGUGCGAAAUAUUAUCAGGUAUUGAUUGAAUCAUUUUAGUUUUGAUUUUGUCCAAAUUUUUAAUGUUGAUAGCUAUUGAAUUUAUGAUAAAGAGAUAAGUUGAUGAAUUAUUAUAAAUACUGCGUGAUUAGCUUGUAGGAGAAAAAAAAUAAAGAUUUGGGACAAGACAGAGAAGCCACCUUGUCUGCUAUUGGAUGUUCUAGUUUAGCUCGCGGAUUGGUCUUCAUUGCGCACCAUCCGGCUGGUAAUAAGUUGAGAUUGUUCCGCUAGUGUUGCUUGGUCAACAAUCUAGAAUUUGCUUUUCUUUCAUCUUUCUAAAAGCAGGUUGUUUAGGGUAGUAGUUGUUCUUUUAGGAUGAUGUUACAUAUGUUAAUUUUUGGGUUUGAGAAAGUGGUGUUGUAC